rnacentral:rRNA from 1 species
UAGCUAGUUGGUGAGGUAAAGGCUUACCAAGGCGACGAUCUGUAGCGGGUCUGAGAGGAUGAUCCGCCACACUGGAACUGAGGCACGGUCCAGACUCCUACGGGAGGCAGCAGUGGGGAAUUUUGGACAAUGGGGGCAACCCUGAUCCAGCCAUGCCGCGUGAGUGAAGAAGGCCUUCGGGUUGUAAAGCUCUUUCGGCCGGGAAGAAAUCGCAUGGGCCAAUACCCUGUGUGGAUGACGGUACCGGAAUAAGAAGCACCGGCUAACUACGUGCCAGCAGCCGCGGUAAUACGUAGGGUGCGAGCGUUAAUCGGAAUUACUGGGCGUAAAGCGUGCGCAGGCGGUUUUGUAAGACAGGCGUGGAAUCCCCGGGCUUAACCUGGGAACUGCGUUUGUGACUGCAAGGCUAGAGUACGGCAGAGGGGGGUGGAAUUCCACGUGUGGCAGUGAAAUGCGUAGAGAUGUGGAGGAACACCAAUGGCGAAGGCAGCCCCCUGGGUCGAUACUGACGCUCAUGCACGAAAGCGUGGGUAGCAAACAGGAUUAGAUACCCUGGUAGUCCACGCCCUAAACUAUGUCAACUAGGUGUUGGGUGGGUAAAACCAUUUAGUACCGUAGCUAACGCGUGAAGUUGACCGCCUGGGGAGUACGGCCGCAAGGUUAAAACUCAAAGGAAUUGACGGGGACCCGCACAAGCGGUGGAUGAUGUGGAUUAAUUCGAUGCAACGCGAAAAACCUUACCUACCCUUGACAUGCCAGGAACUCGCCAGAGAUGGCUUGGUGCCCGAAAGGGAGCCUGGACACAGGUGCUGCAUGGCUGUCGUCAGCUCGUGUCGUGAGAUGUUGGGUUAAGUCCCGCAACGAGCGCAACCCUUGUCGUUAAUUGCCAUCAUUCAGUUGGGCACUUUAACGAGACUGCCGGUGACAAACCGGAGGAAGGUGGGGAUGACGUCAAGUCCUCAUGGCCCUUAUGGGUAGGGCUCCACACGUCAUACAAUGGUCGGUACAAAGGGUUGCCAAGCCGCGAGGCGGAGCCAAUCCCAGAAAGCUGAUCGUAGUCCGGAUUGCAGGCUGCAACUCGCCUGCAUGAAGUCGGAAUCGCUAGUAAUCGUGGAUCAGCAUGUCACGGUGAAUACGUUCCCGGGUCUUGUACACACCGCCCGUCACACCAUGGGAGCGGGUUCCGCCAGAAGUAGGUAGCCUAACCGCAAGGGGGGCGCUUACCACGGCGGGGUUCGUGACGGGGGUGAAGUCGUAACAAGGUAGCCGUAGGGGAACCUGCGGCUG